rnacentral:rRNA from 1 species
GACGAACGCUGGCGGCGUGCUUAACACAUGCAAGUCGAACGAGAAAGGCUCUUCGGAGCUGAGUACAGUGGCGAACGGGUGAGUAACACGUGGGCAACCUGCCCUAGGGAGCGGGACAACUCGGGGAAACUCGAGCUAAUACCGCAUGAUUCGUAGUGCCUCAAGGCUCUACGGGAAAUGGUAGCUUCGGCCUCCGCCCUGGGAUGGGCCCGCGGCGCAUUAGCUUGUUGGUGAGGUAACGGCUCACCAAGGCGACGAUGCGUAGCUGGUCUGAGAGGACGAUCAGCCACACUGGGACUGAGACACGGCCCAGACUCCUACGGGAGGCAGCAGUGGGGAAUCUUGCGCAAUGGGCGGAAGCCUGACGCAGCAACGCCGCGUGUGGGAAGACGGCCUUCGGGUUGUAAACCACUUUCAGGGGGGACGAAGCUUCCGAGGUUAAUAGCCUACGGGGUGACGGUACCCCCAGAAGAAGCCCCGGCUAACUACGUGCCAGCAGCCGCAGUAAAAC